rnacentral:lncRNA from 1 species
CGUCGGCUAAAGUCUAUAAAUUCACGAAAACGCUCAUAUCUCCCCCUAUAUUACGUAAUUUGGUCAAACCUUCCACAUCAAAAACUCUCACAUAGAUGAGACGCAACUGCCCAUAUAAAAAUUUUGAGACAUUUACCUUCCGACAAUAGGGCUCCCCAUAAGGAAUAAUAACGGUAAAUAGGGUUGACCGCUACUAUCGGCUCCGAGACUUUACCCGAUUUACGUGAUUUUUGAACCAUAGCCGUAUUUCACCAUUUUGAACACAUCUUAUUUCACGAGAUUUUUCAUAAUUUUGCUUCCUAUGUAGAGUUGGUUCACAAAGUUGUAUAACCUACUAAACAAGUUAUACAACAUUAGUAGACACGUUGUGAUUCCGAUGACUAAAAUUCACAAACCAAAAUUCGACCGUCAGAUAUGAUCAUUAUGACGAAAUAUGUCUAUGGUAAAAAAUUCAACUGGAUCCGACAACGUUAAGGGCUUGAUCGAAACGGUCAACCAUAAUCCAUCGUCACUUAUCACACGAAAACGCUCAUAUCUCCCUCUAUAUUACGUAGUUUGGUCAAACCUUCCACACAAAAAACUCUCACGUAGAUGAGACGAAACUGCCCAUAUAAAAAUUUUGAGACAUUUUGUCACAUCCCGACCCUUAUAUUUUUACCUUAUUUACUAGCGUGAUUAUAAUAAGAAUUUUACCGUCCCGAUCAUUGAGUAAAUAGUUUAAUUGGUCCCUAGAGGGGUUUCGGGGACGAUUAUGUGCGGAGGAUAAUUCGUAUGGGGAAAAUACGACGACGGUAAAAAUAGUAAAUUUUAGCUAGUAAAAGGUAAUUUUUAUUCGGGUAUUAUUUUUUCGGGGUGUUGAAUUUUGGAAUUUUGGGUUAAAAAGGAGUGUUGGGUCGGCUGGGCCGAGCCCAACCCAUUUCUUCUUCCUUUCUCUCUCUCUCCCUCCCGUUUUCUCUCUUCCCACCCGCAUUUCUUCUCCCUCCACCCGGGAAACUUCACCACCGCAGCCCGCCGCCGUCCGGCCACCAGCUGCCGCCGCUCCAGCCCAGAUCGGACCCCCGUCACCUCCUCUCCCUCCCCGGCCUAGCCCCCGAGCCUCUAACACGCCGGAGAGGAGAAAAAGCCGCCGGAACCGCCGACUGUGUCUUCGCCGGAGCUCCGUCCUCCGGCCACCAUAGGUCGUGAUUUUUGGCUCAACUUGUAGCCCUCAUCUAGGUGAGUAAUCCCUCAAAAGGUUUCGGCUAAAUUCGAUUUCGUUAGGGUGGUUUGUAUAAUUGAAAGUUUUGGGGAUUUAUGGUUGUUUGUGUUCGAUCGACAUGGUUAGGCUUAGAAUNN